rnacentral:rRNA from 1 species
UACGUAGGGUGCAAGCGUUAUCCGGAAUUAUUGGGCGUAAAGAGCUCGUAGGCGGUUUGUCGCGUCUGCUGUGAAAACUGGAGGCUCAACCUCCAGCCUGCAGUGGGUACGGGCAAACUAGAGUGCGGUAGGGGAGAUUGGAAUUCCUGGUGUAGCGGUGGAAUGCGCAGAUAUCAGGAGGAACACCGAUGGCGAAGGCA